rnacentral:rRNA from 1 species
UACAGAGGGUGCAAGCGUUAAUCGGAAUUACUGGGCGUAAAGCGUGUGUAGGCGGCCGCGUAAGUCGGAUGUGAAAGCCCUGGGCUCAACCCAGGAAGUGCACUCGAUACUGCGUGGCUCGAGUACUGGAGAGGUUGGUGGAAUUCUCGGUGUAGAGGUGAAAUUCGUAGAUAUCGAGAGGAACACCGGUGGCGAAGGCGGCCAACUGGACAGAUACUGACGCUGAGACACGAAAGCGUGGGGAGCAAACAGG